UUUUUAUCACUCCGCGGCGGACGGUGUUUUGUUCGCGGUAAAUCGAUCCGUUCUUUUUAAACUUAGAUACCCGUACACAGGGUGCUCCACUAAGAUGUUAUAUCCGUUGCGACCGGCGGUGUUGCCGUUAAUUUUUUUUGAGAGUAUACCGAGCCGUCAAAUAAUACCGAAACGUAAACAUUUAAUGCAAUACGGAUAGUUUCUCUUAAGGUU